rnacentral:rRNA from 1 species
UACGUAGGGUGCGAGCGUUAAUCGGAAUUACUGGGCGUAAAGCGCGCGCAGGCGGUUUUGUAAGUCGGAUGUGAAAUCCCCGGGCUUAACCUGGGAAUGGCAUUUGGGACUGCAAGGCUGGAGUGCGGCAGAGGAGACUGGAAUUCCUGGUGUAGCAGUGAAAUGCGUAGAUAUCAGGAGGAACACCGAUGGCGAAGGCAGGUCUCUGGGCUGACACUGACGCUCAUGCACGAAAGCGUGGGGAGCAAACAGG